rnacentral:rRNA from 1 species
GACGAACGCUGGCGGCGUGCUUAACACAUGCAAGUCGAACGGAAAGGCCCUGCUUUUGUGGGGUGCUCGAGUUGCGAACGGGUGAGUAACACGUGAGUAACCUGUCCUUGACUUUGGGAUAACUUCAGGAAACUGGGGCUAAUACCGGAUAGGAGCUCCUGCUGCAUGGUGGGGGUGGGAAAGUUUCGGCGGUUGGGGAUGGACUCGCGGCUUAUCAGCUUGUUGGUUGGGUAGUGGAUUACCAAGGCUUUGACAGGUAGCCGGCCUGAGAGGGUGACCGGCCAAACUGCGACUGAGCUACGGCACAGACUAGUACGGGAGGCAGCGGAGGGGAAUAGUGUAUAAUGGGAGGAGGGAUGAUGUAGUACAGCCGCGCGCGGGAUGAGGGCCUUGGCGUUGUAUUCCGAUUCUGCCUGUGACGAAGCGUGAGUGACGGUACCGGGUAAAGAAGCACCGGCUAACUACGUG